rnacentral:rRNA from 1 species
AUUAUGGAGAGUUUGAUCCUGGCUCAGAAUGAACGCUGGCGGCGUGCUUAACACAUGCAAGUCGAACGAUGAAACCUAGCUUGCUAGGUGGAUUAGUGGCGCACGGGUGAGUAAUAUAUAGAUAACGUGCCUCUUAGUCUGGGAUAGCCAUUGGAAACGAUGAUUAAUACUGGAUACUCCUUCUCUCUACAAUGAGAGUUGGGAAAGUUUUUCGCUAAGAGAUCGGUCUAUAUCCCAUCAGGUAGUUGGUAGUGUAAGAGACUACCAAGCCUAUGACGGGUAGCGGGUUUGAGAGGAUGAUCCGCCACACUGGUACUGAGACACGGACCAGACUCCUACGGGAGGCAGCAGUGAGGAAUAUUGCACAAUGG